CAGCAGCCACGGGAAUACGGAGGGGGCUAGCGUUGUUCGGAAUUACUGGGCGUAAAGCGCACGUAGGCGGCUUGGUAAGUUAGAGGUGAAAGCCCGGAGCUCAACUCCGGAAUUGCCUUUAAGACUGCCGAGCUAGUAGGUGAGAGAGGUAAGUGGAAUUCCGAGUGUAGAGGUGAAAUUCGUAGAGAUUAGGAGGAACACCAGUGGCGAAGGCGGCUUUUUGGCCUGUAACUGACGCUGAGGAGCGAAAGCGUGGGGAGCGAACAGGAUUAGAUACCCCAGUAGUCCCUGUCUCUUAUAC
rnacentral:rRNA from 1 species